rnacentral:rRNA from 1 species
GUCCACGCCCUAAACGAUGCACACUAGAUCGGUGCGGGUUUCACCCCGUAUUGGUCGUAGAGAAAUUGAUAAGUGUGCCGCCUGGGGAGUACGGUCGCAAGGCUAAAACUCAAAGAAAUUGACGGGGGCUCACACAAGCGGUGGAGCAUGUUGCUUAAUUCGAAGCAACGCGAAGAACCUUACCUGGGUUUGACAUGCACGGAUUAGUUCCUGGAAACAGGAAUGAGGCCCGCAAGGGGUACAACGUGCACAGGUGCUGCAUGGCUGUCGU